CUAAUUUAUUUUUAAAGGGCCAAUCCUUUGAGGGUAGGAACCCAUAUCUUCUCUGACUUUGCCACUGUCCCAGGGGUAGACGGAUCAUGCUGGUGAAGGAGAGGAAUGAGACUCAUGGUCACCCAGGCCACUGAGUACUCUGCCAGGCGGCAGAAUCCCUUGUCUCACUUUCUCUUUAAACUAGAUAGUCUCAAUAAAUUGAUUACAGCCAGCACGAGAACCUUUCUCUGUCUUGAAAAUUCCUACAAGGCCUUCUUAACAGGUUCUUUGAACCCUUCUCUGACUUGUUUUCCUGAGCUCUGGGCUCCCUAGGCUGAGGUAAGUACUCCCACCUCUGUGUUCCCAUGGUGAUGGUCCUUUUAACAAGUGACACUAUUUGAAAAUCGCUUUUCCGUGAGCCCUCCCUGAGCUCCUUGUAUCGAGCUCAGACGCCCACAGAAUGCUUUUCCAAGAUUUAUCUGGCGGGAUCAAUGCCCGGAGGCCAGUGUUGGAAAGCUGCUUUUGAUGCCGAGGCCACGCAGUGGUGACCUGAGGACGCGUGGCUGCGCUCGGACCACCACCACGCGAUGCCCUGAUGGCGGACGAGCCAGGAUUUUCCCUCUUUGCCUCUCGGCUUCCAAGGUCAAGGCAAUACCUGAACAGCCACUUCGCUGCAAGAGCAAGACUGCACCGCUUGCUUCCAGCGGCGGGGGGCAGGGGCAUCUUGCAAAGAUCAAAAAAUCUGCAGCGCCUCCUGUAGGAGCAGCUGCCGGCGUCAGCCCUGAACCCGGGCCGGUGAAGAGCAGAGGCGGGAGAAGGCAAUAAGAGAAAUUCUUCCAAAGAGUCUCUUCAAUCAAUGGGAAUAAUUUUAGUCCAUCGUGCUUAUAAACUGGUUUGCAGGAUAUUUUCCCAAAGAACAAUAGAGAAAAUGAAAUGAACCAUUCAGAACUGUGUCCUGAAGUUUACCAAGGUAAUUGAUCCUUUCACUCACUGGGUCCUGAAUUUUUCAACAGUAAACUAGUUUCAUCUCUUAGUGAUGGUUUCACUAUUACAUGUUUCACAGACAGCAGAAGAUUUAAAUAAUUUCCAAAUGUAUCCCCUAAGUCAGAAAAGAAUGAAUGCAUAAGAUGUUUGGUUAAAAUAAUAAUACUUGUAGAAAUCAGAAGAGAGAAGGAGGGAGGGAGAGAGGAAAGAUGGGAAAGGGAGAGGGAGAGAUGGGAAAGAGAGAGAGAGGCGGAGUGAGAAAGAGAGAGAGAGGGAGAGGGAGCUACUGCAAAACUUGCAGAAGGGAUUUGCACCUGUACGACUUGAGGUUGCUUAAUGUCUGCUCAGCUCUAGAGGUAUUCAUCAGGACAGCUGGCAAAUAGGGGGUUAAUCAUUACAGAAAAUAAUGCAUCGUAUCUUUUCAGUUUGCUUUCUACCAAAGGGCAGUAAAAAUUUAUGCUUCAGGAAAAGGAUAAAACUGGUAUUUUCCGAGUGUGAUUGCCUCCUUUGAAAUUUCUCAGGAAACAUAGACAUAGACUAUCUAUGUUACAGAACAUCCCUAACUCUCCCUAAAAGCUACAACUCUGAUUCUGGUAGAUGACCUUGAUCUUCUUAGGCUCUAUGAACACGCCUUGGGUUUCUGCAAAGUUCUAACACCUAAGGCUUGUAGGAAUAUUGAACUAUAGCAGCAUUUUUAAAAAGAGAAAAUUCUCUAGAUAGUUCAUUAAAUUAGGUAAUACUGUUGGCUAAAUUAGUUUACUUUCAAUGUUUAACAAAAAGAAUUUUAUCUUCAAAUAGUCCUAAGUACUGUGAAUUCCAUUUUAAUUUGCAUAACUUUAGCAAAUGCUUUUUUUCCCCUCAUAGAGAUAAUGCUUAUUUCUUUCUUAUAUUUGUAGAAAAUUAAUUCAUGGAUACAAAAUAAAAUAGGUAUAUCUUAUUACUAUACAUCUCUCUGGUAUUGUGUUUUCCAAUUCCAGUAAAGCAAAGUUGAAAGAGCCUUCUGUCACCAGCUAGUUAUUAACAAAAACAGUAUUCAUUGCCAUUCUGGGUUGAGGCAGCAUCUGAAGCUGACUGCAGUUCGAUCCUGUGAUUAUUAACUCACUUCCCACCGGUAUCUUAUACAGGCCCAUUAUCUACUGUCAAUAUUUUUAUAGUCUAUGAGGAGAAGUCCUGCUUACUUCCUGUUAGAAGGGAGGUGACAGAGUUUUUUCUUCUUUUUUAAGUAGAUAAAUAUGUACUCUACAAAUAUGUUUGACUGAGGAGGUAAAAGGGAGGGAAAGGGGAGCCUCGCAUCUGCUGUCUCGCAGGCUCAUUGUGUGGUUAAUAAUUGCUCCAGAAUAGUUUUACAGGGUGUAGGCUUUCAGAAACAAGGAUUACUGAAAGAUCCAGGCUGAAAACCUUUUUCAGUUCGGUUCAUACACCAAAUCCUAGGUAGUAGUUAAGCUUUUUGUGGUUGAUGAUGGUUUUUUGUUUUUUUUUUUUUAACAAUUUAGCUCAGUGUAAAGCAUUUUGUUUUCCUUACUUUAAGAAAUCUCUUAAAGUGUAUUUUUCUGAAAGAGAUGGACUGCUGUAUGGUUUUUCCCAUCCAUAACGCCAAGUGUAUCAUGGAGCUUCACAACAUAAGACUAUCAUGGGGUAUAUUAUGACUACAAAGUUAUGUUGUCAAGGCUCUACCGUGCAUAAAUAAAUACUUUCUAAAAAGGUUUUCGUAAACAUACUCUUCAGUUCAAAGUAUGUACUUUAAAAAUGACAUUUACUCCGCCCUGUGUUCUGUAUUGCAUGGCUACUCUGAUCAAUUAAGUUAUUAGGCAAAUCACCACAGAUAGGGGAUAACAUGAAAUAUUGUGGUGAAUCAUGAUGUUUUUAAAGUUGAUUAGGACACGUACAUAAUAUUCAGCUUUGCAAAUGUUCAAGUUAAAAAUAUUUCUGUGGAAAAUUAGACGAUUCUGUGUACAGAGUUACAUCUUUUUAAAAGAGCAAUAGAUUUGAAGUUAAUAAAUUUAAUUUUCAUG
rnacentral:lncRNA from 1 species